rnacentral:rRNA from 1 species
UACGUAGGGGGCGAGCGUUGUCCGGAAUCAUUGGGCGUAAAGGGCACGUAGGCGGCCCCGUAAGUCGAAUGUGAAAUCCUGCAGCUCAACUGCAGAACUGCAUUCGAUACUGCAGGGCUUGAGGAAGGUAGAGGAGAGUGGAAUUCCCGGUGUAGCGGUGGAAUGCGCAGAUAUCGGGAGGAACACCAGCGGCGAAGGCGGCUCGCUGGUCCGUUUCUGACGCUGAGGCGCGAAAGCGUGGGGAGCAAACAGG